GUCAAGACGAAUGGCUCAGAAAAUCCAUUAUGUUUCUGAAGUGAUGCUCCACAUGAUACAGGCUGCAUCUGAAGUACUAGGAUUCCUGACCAGAAUGGAUUAUGUAUGCUGAAUAGGCCAAUCUUGUGAAAGAGACUGUAUCAAUGUCUUCAUCUGAAAAAAAGGAAGGACGCAAAAGGAAGCGGAAGAUAACAGAAAGAAAAAUGUGGAAGAGUGGAUAUAUAUAACUGAUAAACAUGGACAACUUUAUCUCCUCCCAGUUCCAGUGUGGCAGCCAGAGGAUGUAACUCAGGAGGAAAAAACAUUCAGCUUCUGGGGAGACAUAUCCUAGUCAGCUCACUGGCGCUCAUCAUCGCACUAUACUAAAAGUUGGGGCAUUUGAGCUAAGGUUUCAGUUAUUGGUUGCUGUGAGAACAGUUAGACUCAUUACAAUCCAAUUUUUUUAAAGCUUCACAAGUUCUGGGAGUCUAAUGCAGAAGCUGGAAUUUUCCUACAGUGGAAGAAAUGACCCUUCACCCCUCCAGUUUGAAAUCACAAGGGAGGUGAAGGGAUACACCACACCAGAGGCUGACGGUCAAAUGGAAGAACAGCAAUCACCAGAGCCAGUUGUCUCUACCGGAGAGCAUCAGUCAGGAAGGAGUUGACAACUGAGCUGCCCUGGGGAAGGAAGGUUCGAUACCUUUGGCUUUUGUUUGGUUUAGCAGUUUGUUUCCUUAGCAAGACAAUAACAGGCAUCAACUUGGGACCAGAACAAAAAGGAACGUUUUAUAUUGCUAUUUAUUUUCAGACUGAAAGGAAAUUUUGCAGGCUGUUUUGAUGUUUCUAGUGGUGAAAAAUAAAAAGAAAAAAGAAAAAAAGGCUCUCACUUCUUUGAUACAGACUGGAGGAAAUAAGGAUAUGGAGCCUAAAUGUCUCAUCUUCAUGUAAAUGGGGCUGCCACCUCAGCCAGAUACACAAAAUUCAGGAGGGGUACAGAAAUGAAUUGUUCUACAGUUUGCAGAAAGAGAGGUACAAAUGCAGAGAAACCAGCCCAA